rnacentral:rRNA from 1 species
GGAAUUCUUGGAGUAGCGGUGGAAUGCGCAGAUAUCAAGAAGAACACCAAAAGCGAAGGCAGCCUUCUAGGCAGAUACUGACACUCAGGAGCGAAGGUGUGGGUAGCGAACAGGAUUAGAUACCCUGGUAGUCCACACAGUCAACGAUGAUCACUAAGUUUUGGUGAGAUUAUAAAUUAUCAGAGCUGCCGCAAAUGCAUUAAGUGAUCCGCCUGGGGAGUACGUCCGCAAGGAUGAAACUCAAAGGAAUUGACGGGGACCCGCACAAGCGGUGGAGUAUGUUCUUUAAUUCGAUGCAACGCGAAGAACCUUACCUGGGCUUGACAUCACCGAAAUCACCUUUAUACGGUGAGUGCCUCGAUUUAUCGAGGAAUCGUGUGACAGGUGCUGCAUGGCUGUCGUCAGUUCGUGUCGUGAGAUGUUGGGUUAAGUCCCGCAACGAACGCAACCCCUGUCUUUAGUUACCAGCAUUAAGUUGGGGACUCUAGAGAGACUGCCAAGGUGACAACUUGGAGGAAGGUGGGGACGACGUCAAGUCAUCAUGGUCCUUACGUCCAGGGCUAGAAACGUACUACAAUGGUUGGCACAGAGGGCAGCAACACAGCGAUGUGAAGCAAAUCCUUAAAACCAACCUCAGUUCGGAUUGGAGUCUGCAACUCGACUCCAUGAAGUUGGAAUCGCUAGUAAUC